ensembl:lncRNA
AUGCCAGCAUCUGCCACAGCCAAAGAAGAGCCUCACCCUUUGAUGGAUACAGACCUGCGAGGGGUAGCGCCACUGCCCAUAUCCUCCUCUCCUCGAGCCGCCCGCACUGGACCCAUUAAGACGGGAGGCCUGGUUCAAGUCCUGGACCACGGCCGGUGGACGGCCCCCAUGAGAGCAGCCAUCGAUGGGCUUCUGGCUAAACAUCAUGGAGCCAAAGCUCUUCUGAAGAGGGUGGAUGCGGAAUAUGCUGCCAUGGUGCAGAGGGCGUGCACGGAUCCCAACAGCCUCCUUCAUCCGACCACAGGCCAGCAUAUCUCCAGAUAUGUCAAGCAUCUGGCCAAGCUGAAAAACACCAGCUCCUCUCUCAACACCAGCCCAGAGAAGGUUUUAGAGACUCAGCAGCUGUGGCAGAGUUUGACCACAGGCAGCAAAACAGUGUGUGUACCCGUCACAGCCCUGCCUCCUGCGACCGUCAACCCUCCAGCUGUGGCUCCCCCCCCGGAGGAGUCACUGAGCCGGGCCACAGUGGAGAAGAUCGUGUCAGAGAUCCUCCAGAAACAGCAGCAACAACCAAGGCAGGAGAGAAAGGUGCCCAGAAACUGUUUGUCCUGUGGUCAGCCAAAGUCCAGGUACCUUGGCGAUGGAUCCACUGUUCACUUUUUUUUUCAGUCCCCUGAGGUGAAGUACUUUUACUGCUCCGAACGGGUCUUUAAAAUGUAUAGAGAGGAAGGCCUCAAAGACCCCAGGAUGUCUUUUGUGGACUUUGCUGCCUCCCCCUUUUUUGCCAGGGAGCUUGAGGCUGUAAAAGAGAGGAGUGCAGCGUGGAAGAAGGUGGCAGAGGAGAGGACAAAGCGAAAGUCUGCAGUGCAGCUUCCAACAGGUCGCCUGUGCAGAUUCUGUCACCAACCACUAAAGCAGGGUCCUGUCAGCCCUCAUGUCCAUGCCUGUUUCCCUGACAUCCCAGGGAAAUACAUAUACUGCCCCUCCAGAGUGUUGUCCCUUUACAAGGACAAGGGCAUGGUCAAGGAGAUGACCUGGAUGGAGUUCCAGCAGUCAGACUUUUUUGAGGCAGAAAGGGUCCGAUGGGUUUCAGAGAAGAGGAGUUGAGGAGGACUAAUAGUCCUCUUUUCUGAAAUGAAAUGAUUAGACCUUGACUAAUCAUUUCAUAAUAUCAUAUAUGUUUACACUUUCUAUUAAAUAUAUUCUGUACAUUUGUAUUGUUCCUUUGCUUAUAUAUUAUCUCAGUUUGGACUUUGGGUGUUUAAUAACUAAUAGUCCACUUUUCUAUAAUAUUGUAUAUGUUUACACUUUUUUGUAAAUAUAUUCUGUACAUUUGAAUUGUUCCUUUGCUUACAUAUUAUCUUGAUUUAUCUUCAAUAUCAGUUUGGACUUUGGGUGUUUAAUAACUAAUAGUCCUCUUUUCUAUAAUAUUGUAUAUGUUUACACUUUUUAGUAAAUAUGUUCUGUACAUUUGCAUUGUUCCUUUGCUUGCAUGUUAACUUUAUUUAUCUUCAAUGUCAGUUUGGAUUUUGGGUGUUUAAUUAUUCAGCUCGUGUUCAUGUAGAAUUAAAUAUGACACUUUCAUCGAAGGGCAGCAACUUGUUUCUGGAUUAUUUGCUUCGUGGAGCAUAUUGUGCCUUUCAUGCAUCAUUUAUAUAAUAUAAAUAUUUUUAAUGAUG